CGGUUAAGUUAGAAAGGGCGCACGGUGGAUGCCUUGGCACUAGGAGCCGAUGAAGGACGGGACGAACACCGAUAUGCUUCGGGGAGCUGUAAGCAAGCUUUGAUCCGGAGAUUUCCGAAUGGGGAAACCCACCACUCGUAAUGGAGUGGUAUCCAUAUCUGAAUACAUAGGAUAUGAGAAGGCAGACCCGGGGAACUGAAACAUCUAAGUACCCGGAGGAAGAGAAAGCAAAUGCGAUUCCCUGAGUAGCGGCGAGCGAAACGGGAACAGCCCAAACCAAGAGGCUUGCCUCUUGGGGUUGUAGGACACUCUGUACGGAGUUACAAAGGAACGAGGUAGAUGAAGAGGUCUGGAAAGGCCCGCCAUAGGAGGUAACAGCCCUGUAGUCAAAACUUCGUUCUCUCCUGAGUGGAUCCUGAGUACGGCGGAACACGUGAAAUUCCGUCGGAAUCCGGGAGGACCAUCUCCCAAGGCUAAAUACUCCCUAGUGACCGAUAGUGAACCAGUACCGUGAGGGAAAGGUGAAAAGCACCCCGGAAGGGGAGUGAAAGAGAUCCUGAAACCGUGUGCCUACAAGUAGUCAGAGCCCGUUAACGGGUGAUGGCGUGCCUUUUGUAGAAUGAACCGGCGAGUUACGAUCCCGUGCAAGGUUAAGCAGAAGAUGCGGAGCCGCAGCGAAAGCGAGUCUGAAUAGGGCGAAUUGAGUACGUGGUCGUAGACCCGAAACCAGGUGAUCUACCCAUGUCCAGGGUGAAGUUCAGGUAACACUGAAUGGAGGCCCGAACCCACGCACGUUGAAAAGUGCGGGGAUGAGGUGUGGGUAGGGGUGAAAUGCCAAUCGAACCUGGAGAUAGCUGGUUCUCUCCGAAAUAGCUUUAGGGCUAGCCUCAAGGUAAGAGUCUCGGAGGUAGAGCACUGAUUGGACUAGGGGCCCCUACCGGGUUACCGAAUUCAGUCAAACUCCGAAUGCCGAUGACUUAUCCUUGGGAGUCAGACUGCGAGUGAUAAGAUCCGUAGUCGAAAGGGAAACAGCCCAGACCGCCAGCUAAGGUCCCAAAGUAUACGUUAAGUGGAAAAGGAUGUGGAGUUGCUUAGACAACCAGGAUGUUGGCUUAGAAGCAGCCACCAUUUAAAGAGUGCGUAAUAGCUCACUGGUCGAGUGACUCUGCGCCGAAAAUGUACCGGGGCUAAACGUAUCACCGAAGCUGCGGACUGUUCUUCGAACAGUGGUAGGAGAGCGUUCUAAGGGCUGUGAAGCAAGACCGGAAGGACUUGUGGAGCGCUUAGAAGUGAGAAUGCCGGUAUGAGUAGCGAAAGAGGGGUGAGAAUCCCCUCCACCGAAUGCCUAAGGUUUCCUGAGGAAGGCUCGUCCGCUCAGGGUUAGUCGGGACCUAAGCCGAGGCCGAAAGGCGUAGGCGAUGGAUAACAGGUUGAUAUUCCUGUACCACCUCCUCACCAUUUGAGCAAUGGGGGGACGCAGGAGGAUAGGGUAAGCGCGGUAUUGGAUAUCCGCGUCCAAGCAGUUAGGCUGGGAAAUAGGCAAAUCCGUUUCCCGUGAAGGCUGAGCUGUGAUGGCGAGCGAAUUAUAGUAGCGAAGUUCCUGAUUCCACACUGCCAAGAAAAGCCUCUAGCGAGGUGAGAGGUGCCCGUACCGCAAACCGACACAGGUAGGCGAGGAGAGAAUCCUAAGGUGAUCGAGAGAACUCUCGUUAAGGAACUCGGCAAAAUGACCCCGUAACUUCGGGAGAAGGGGUGCUCUGUUAGGGUGCAAGCCCGAGAGAGCCGCAGUGAAUAGGCCCAGGCGACUGUUUAGCAAAAACACAGGUCUCUGCGAAGCCGUAAGGCGAAGUAUAGGGGCUGACGCCUGCCCGGUGCUGGAAGGUUAAGAGGAGCGCUUAGCGUAAGCGAAGGUGCGAAUUGAAGCCCCAGUAAACGGCGGCCGUAACUAUAACGGUCCUAAGGUAGCGAAAUUCCUUGUCGGGUAAGUUCCGACCCGCACGAAAGGCGCAACGAUCUGGGCACUGUCUCAACGAGAGACUCGGUGAAAUUAUAGUACCUGUGAAGAUGCAGGUUACCCGCGACAGGACGGAAAGACCCCGUGGAGCUUUACUGCAGCCUGAUAUUGAAUGUUGGUACAGCUUGUACAGGAUAGGUAGGAGCCUUGGAAACCGGAGCGCCAGCUUCGGUGGAGGCAUCGGUGGGAUACUACCCUGGCUGUAUUGACCUUCUAACCCGCCGCCCUUAUCGGGCGGGGAGACAGUGUCAGGUGGGCAGUUUGACUGGGGCGGUCGCCUCCUAAAAGGUAACGGAGGCGCCCAAAGGUUCCCUCAGAAUGGUUGGAAAUCAUUCGCAGAGUGUAAAGGCACAAGGGAGCUUGACUGCGAGACCUACAAGUCGAGCAGGGACGAAAGUCGGGCUUAGUGAUCCGGUGGUUCCGCAUGGAAGGGCCAUCGCUCAACGGAUAAAAGCUACCCCGGGGAUAACAGGCUUAUCUCCCCAAGAGUCCACAUCGACGGGGAGGUUUGGCACCUCGAUGUCGGCUCAUCGCAUCCUGGGGCUGUAGUCGGUCCCAAGGGUUGGGCUGUUCGCCCAUUAAAGCGGUACGCGAGCUGGGUUCAGAACGUCGUGAGACAGUUCGGUCCCUAUCCGUCGCGGGCGCAGGAAAUUUGAGAGGAGCUGUCCUUAGUACGAGAGGACCGGGAUGGACGCACCGCUGGUGUACCAGUUGUUCUGCCAAGGGCAUCGCUGGGUAGCUAUGUGCGGACGGGAUAAGUGCUGAAAGCAUCUAAGCAUGAAGCCCCCCUCAAGAUGAGAUUUCCCAUUCCGCAAGGAAGUAAGAUCCCUGAAAGAUGAUCAGGUUGAUAGGUCUGAGGUGGAAGUGUGGCGACACAUGGAGCUGACAGAUACUAAUCGAUCGAGGACUUAACCAAUUU
rnacentral:rRNA from 1 species